rnacentral:lncRNA from 1 species
AAUCCCCUUUUAAUAUAGUUUUUAAUGAAAGAAGAGAUAACAAUAUAGCUUUCCUUAUAAGCCAACAAAAGCGUCAAAAACGUUUUCAAUCCGUAACAUUUCUUUCUCCGCAUUAACCCUUUUUCAUUCUCUUUUUAUAAAUUCACAUUUUUCUUCUCCAUUUUUUCAUCUCAGAUCCAAAAUUCUCACAACAAUUCAUUCAUCCGAGAUGUGUUGUCCAGGUAGAGUUUGCAUGCUAUGCACGUGCUUGAUCAUGAUUGUGAUCGUGAUCGGGUUUCUGUUUGGAUUCGGUGUUUUCAAGCAUGGAUUUCAUAAAAUCAAAGAUACUGUUAGUUACUGCGACUCUUGCGGCGGUGUUGGCGGUGGAGGAAGGCCUUUCUUAGGUUAUGCGCCGCCGCCAUUGUUCUAGUUCAGUAUUUUUCUCUUAUUAUUCUCUUGUUCCGUUUGUUUUAGGUAAUUUCUAUUUUAUGGUUUAUUAAAAUUCGUAUUUGUAAUUAUCCGUUUAUUUGGAUUUUUAUGAUGAUUUUAUUAAUCAAGUUUCUUUGUUCUAGUGAUUAGUGUUUUAAAUUCUUUAUUCUUAUUCUCAAUCUAAUUCAUUUGAUAAAUGUGGAAUUGUUGGAAUUAUCCCAUCACCGAGUCAGCAUUUUCUUUUUUCAUUAAAAAUAUUUUAGUUGAAGAUUUUAUAUUUAAGAUUAAAAAAAGUUAUGGCUUUAGUUAUAUAAUUUUUAGCUUAUAGAUAUAAGAGUUUGGAACUCAUGACAUUAAAGAGUGGAUUUUAAAUAUUAGUCUAUUUAAAAUUGAUUAAAAAAAUAUGUGUAUUUUUUAAAACAAGAUUUUGUUAUUUAAAAAUAAUUAUUACUUAUGUAUUCUUGAUUUUUUUUAAAAACUUACAUAAAUGUUUUCGUAAGAAUGUAUAAUUCCUCAACUUGAAAAGUGAACGCUAAGCCAUUAAUUUUUUAUUGACUAUUUUUUAUACCUGUGAAUAAUUAUUGAUUUAUUUUAUAUCUAUGAAUAAAAAUUAUUGAUUUUUGUAAUACAAUGAAUGAAUGCCUUAUAUGAAAAUCUUAAUUAUAAGUUCGCGUAAUUUUUCUUUUAAAUUUAAUACUCACAAAAAGCUUUUUGAUUGAUUCAUGAAAAGUUAAAAUCACGAGUUCAUAAAUUUACAAAUUCUUAUCUUAAUCUGACGAUAUUCUUUUUUAAUGGCAAUGAACCUUAUCACCGAGGACUAGUGCUCGAACCUUAGUUUCUAAUUAUUAUUAUUUGUGUAAUGGUAUCAAUUUCAAUAAUGAAAUUUUUAACAAGCAAAAAUUGCAUCCCCACUUUUGAGAACAUAUUCCAUUUUGCAUUGAAAUGUUGAUACUUGGCAAUUGAGAAUGAAUCAAACAAAACAAGAAUCGUGCCCAUCAUGUAAAGUAUGUAACUAAUUUGUGGAGUAGGAUGAAAGACAUUUGGCUUUUGCAUUAAAGUGGGGUUAUCUUGUCAUGUGAUGUGGGCCAAUCACCUAAAUCUUCACAUUUCAUUCUCGUAGAGUUUCACAUUCUUCUCUCUUUCAUUUGUAACUUUUAAAUUAUCAUCAAAAUUUGUAUCAUACAAAUAACUAUAAGUAUAUAUGAAGAAUUUUUUUAUCAAAAUAAUCUAAUUUUUUAAGAAAUCAAAAUAAUCUUGUUUUUAAAAAAAUUUCAAAAGUAUCUCACUUAUAGGAGGAAGCGUCAAUUGAAUUGAUGAUUUCUCUUAAAAAUAUAGUGCAUGCGCCAAUUGGAUUGGCUAGGGCACAUGGUGCAGCCAAUUCAAUUGACACCCAUGUGUAUUUUUUCAAAGGAGACACCAAUUGGAUUGACAUCUCAGUGUAUUAUGCAUUUUUUUUUUGUUAUAAAUAGAGUUGUUGUGUGAAUCAUUUUUCCACAUCUCAUUUCAUCAUUUGGCAAUCAUGUUUGGUGUUCGUCGCCGCUAUGGAAAGGUGAUUUGUGCGAGAGACAAACCUCAGAUGUUGAUGAUCUUCUGGAACAUCACUAUUUUCGAUCAACUGAAGAGGGAGUUGGUUCGUUGGUUAGAUGGGAAAAUACCAGAAGGGAAAAAAAUUAGAAGUAUUGAGAGACUCGACCGUAUCUUUGGUUGGGUGCGAAUGAAAACUGAUAAGGAUGCUAGGGAAAUGAUGUUCGGACGAGAUGACAUUACUUUGAUUGUUGUAAUCAGUUAGAAAUAUUUUGUUUUCAGUUGGCUUAUGUUGUAGUGAUGUUUGUUCUGAACCUCGUUGUAACAAAAACUUAAUGAUAUAUAAAAAUUGAAGGUUACAAAAUACAAUGUUAAAAAAAGAUUAUGACCCAGAUGAUGCUCU